GCGUCGGUGGUGCAACGGUCUAACACAUGCUCUCGGAAAGAGUAAGAGCUGAGUUCGAAUUCCAGCUUACGCA